ACAUGGCGAGACGCACAUCUCUGCCUUUAAAAAUGUGGCGCGUUUACCCUAUUUUAAAAAAGUUUUAAGUUUUAGCCAACCGGGAUCAGCUUAGAUUGUGGGCGUCCAACCCCAGCCAACAGGGAAAGGACAGAGGAACAGAAGCUCCCUUCCUUUGUCCCGUGUGCUCUGGAGAUUGCAUCCCACGCAGGCAGCCCCCUUCCGUACAAGAGAGGCUGGCGGUUACCUUUCUUGGGGAGACGCGUCCGACUGCUUCAUUGUGGGGGCCUCAGGAGCGGAGGAUCGGGUCCCGCCCGAGGUGACGCGUAAACCCAGACUCUCAGCAACGCGGGUAGGAAGGACCCUUGAAGUUCCGCGGCGACCACGUCGGCUGAAACCAGCAGCCCAGGACAAGUGGACCAGCCAGCAAGACCCAGACCAUCCAAACCGGCUGAUCCUACGACAGGACCCAGAUGCCAGUGAAAGUGACCACAGCCCUGCUCUAGUCACCCCGGAAGCUGACCAGUCUACGCACGGCCGAAGCUUCGUCAAGGAAGUAAAUGUAGUUAGAAAUCUUAA
rnacentral:lncRNA from 1 species